rnacentral:rRNA from 1 species
AUGAGUGUUUUCAAACUUCCUUUCUCGGUAUGUGAUGAUUUGUCCAAGCUGAUGAGACAUUACUGGUGGGGCACGCAAAAUGGUAAGAAAAAGAUGGCUUGGAUGGCAUGGGAUAAAUUGGUUCUACCUAAAAAAGGAGGGAUGUGGUUCAGGAAUAUGAGGGCGUUUAAUCAAGCUUUUCUUGCCAAACAAGCCUGGUGACUCCUUGUUGCACCUGAAUCGCUUUGUGCAAGACUACUAUGGGCUAAAUAUUAUCCAAAUGGGAAUCUACUAGAUAUAGUUUUUCUGAGUAACUCGUCAGCGGUUUGGAAGGGUAUCGAACAUGGAUUGAACUUGGUGAAAAAAGGUAUGAUCUGGUAACUCGGCAAUGGUAAUCUUAUUCGAACUUGGCGAGAUCCAUGGAUUCCUAGGGGUAUGCCUUUUAUGCCUAUUUCCCCUAAAAUAAAUUGUCGUCUAAAUAAAGUUGCUGAUUUUAUGGAUGCUAAUGGUGCAUGGAAGGUAAAUUUAUUGGAACAAUUUUUCUAUCAUGUUGAUGUUGAAGCUAUUUUGAAAAUUCGUACGUCGCUAAGACAUCGGGAAGAUUUUAUUGCUUGGCCUUUUGAGAAGUCGGGAUCUUUCACUGUGAGGAGCACCUAUCAUUUAGCUAUGGGUGAGCACAUGGACCGGUCCUCGCAAGGAGCAAGCUUCACAUGUGUAACAGCCUGGCUUUUGGCCCUUCCCUUUUUCUUUUGA